GAUGAACGCUGGCGGCGUGCCUAAUACAUGCCAGUCGAGCGAACGGACGAGAAGCUGGCUUCUCUGAUGUUAGCGGCGGAAGGGAGAGUAACACGUGGAUAACCUACCUAUAAGACUGGGAUAACUUCGGGAAACCGGAGCUAAUACGGGAUGAUAUUGUGAACCGCAUGGUUCAAAAGUGAAAGACGGUCUUGCGGUCACUUAUAGAUGGAGCCGUGCUGCAUUAGCUAGUUGGUAAGGUAACGGCUUACCAAGGCAACGAUGCAUAGCCGACCUGAGAGGGCGAUCGGCCACACUGGAACUGAGACACGGUCCAGACUCCUACGGGAGGCAGCAGUAGGGAAUCUUCCGCAAUGGGCGAAAGCCUGACGGAGCAACGCCGCGUGAGUGAUGAAGGUCUUCGGAUCGUAAAACUCUUUUAUUAGGGAAGAACAUAUGUGUAAGUAACUGUGCACAUCUUGACGGUACCUAAUCAGAAAGCCACGGCUAACUACGUG
rnacentral:rRNA from 1 species